rnacentral:tRNA from 1 species
GCGGAAGUGGUUCAGUGGUAGAACAUCACCUUGCCAUGGUGGGGGUCGCGGGUUCGAAUCCCGUCUUCCGCU